UACGAAGGGGGCUAGCGUUGUUCGGAAUUACUGGGCGUAAAGAGUUCGUAGGCGGUUUAUUUAAGCUAGAUGUGAAAUCCCUGAGCUUAACUCAGGAACUGCAUUUAGAACUGGUAGGCUAGAGAGUGUUAGAGGUUGGUAGAAUUCCUAGUGUAGGGGUGAAAUCCGUAGAUAUUAGGAGGAAUACCGAUGGCGAAGGCAGCCAACUGGGACAUUUCUGACGCUGAGGAACGAAAGCGUGGGUAGCAAACAGG
rnacentral:rRNA from 1 species